GUUGUGAUAAGCCUCCAUGUUGAACAGCUUGGGCUGCAAAACAACUCCAAACAGCUCCUGGGGACUUUGUUUGGAAGAGGUGACCCUGGCUGACUCCCCUCCCAGCUGCUGUUGCAUCGGGGUGUUUCUUAACUAUGCUAUCCCAGAGGCCACUGGCAUUCCUGCUAAUGGGUAGCAAUGGGUCUGUGCUGCAGCCAGAUGGCAUUAGCUCUGUCAGAGACAGGGGAAGCUUCUGGCAGCUUCUCACAGAAGCCACCCUUGUAGCCUCCUCCGCUGUUGAAAUCUUGCUAUGCAACUUCAAUACAUCCUUAAUCAGCACUGCGUAAAAAAAUCGCUCAGAGAAUUCAGGUAUUCAAUUUUUUAUUACUAAAAUGUCUCUGUGUAUAAAAUUGGUAGGAGGGAAUAGGCAUGGUGUGUAUUUUGUCAUCCUUUAAAUUUUAUUUUCAUGGAUAAAUGACUAAAGAAUGGGCUGUACAAAUCACCAAUCAAUACAUGUGAUAAGGGAAACAUGCAAAAGAGCUCUGAAGUGUGAGAUACAGGACAUGAAAGUAUUAUUUCUUAUGAUGGAGGUUUUGUUUUCUAACAUACAUUUCUAUGCUCAACAGUUAAUGCAUUACUUCUCUUCCUUUUGUAACAGGCAAUCAUUAAAAAUUUGACCAGCUGCGACAGGGAAGACAUCAGGUCUCAUUUGGAUUGCCAUCCCUGGGCUUCUCCGCUGAAGCUCAGAGUCCUGGGACCCCUGUGGCUUUCCUGCUUUGGGGACACCAGCAGAAUAAAGAGAAGUGAAUGAAUUCCUCAUGAAAGGUGCUGUAUGGACAACUCCUUUUUAUCUUCACAAGUCCUGGAGAAACAGCAGUGGAUUCCCCUGCCUUACUUCACCCCUAGGCUGGUCCUCUCCAUGUGUCUCUCACAUAAGGAACUGUUUGAUUGCUCUCCAUUUCUGUUUCGAAAAUCCAAAUUUCUUGUACAAACUUUUGCAGACCACAGUUGUGGAUGUCCCUCCUGAAAUGGCACUUUCUGCUCUAUUCGUGCCAGAAGGCAAUUGGAACUUGUGUGAUUCUCCAUCCUCCUAGCACUUCAUAGAGACAUCUGACCAGAGACUGCUGAUGCACAGGCAGCUGGAAUAUGUGCUGUGGGAAUGAGUAAACAGAAGGGCCAGAAAUCCUCACUCUAGGGAACUGUGGAACUGAUACUGGAAGACUGUCAAGUCAGAAUAUCCUUAGAAUGAUAGGACAUGAGUUCAAGCCACACAUAAAUCCAGAUUUCAGAGUCUUGACCUCAGGUAAGACUCCGGAUUACAUGAAAUUUGUAAGAAAAGUACAGGAAAUCUACAGUGAUCUCAUGUAUUUAAAACCUGUUCUCAGACAAAGUAAGACAAAUUAGUUUCAACAGAAAAAAAAAAUCCUGGACAGGAUUACCAGAAUUUUGAAUGAAGAAAAUUUCAAAAAUCCAAGUUUAAGAAAUUACUUUACUUGAAAACUCUUUCAUGCUGAGGCAGGAUCUGAAUCUAAUUUUCACAGCCCUACAAAAUUAUUCUACAUAUAGAAGCUUAUCACAUACAUAAUUACCUUAUUCUAGUUUGUAUUCUAGAACAAACAUGUCUGCAUGAGACAGUUAUUCAGUAAGAAUGCUGCUUUUAUUCUUGAAUAAUUCCAUGUGCAGUCAAGCCCUCAGUCAAACCAUCACAACUCUGUAUGUAGAUGAAUUGUCAGUCUGUCUCUGCUUGCACUUACACAAAAUGUGUAUCUCUGUUACUAAAUGCAGCUGACAGAUCUGAAAACGUCACGUUUGUGGAGUAGGCAUAGCUCUUACAAGUUCCCACCCUUAUUGGCCUACUAUUUCUGUGUCCUUUGGAGGUGUUACGAACUGCAUAUCCUUCAUAUUUUGUGUUCAAUGUCAUUAGCAAACUAAUAAAUGCUAUGGAGAGAAGGAAAAGUUUUUUCUUCCCUUGUUUGCCAAAAAGCAAGAGGAUUUUUGCCAAAAGGAAGAGUUUUUGAGUGUGACAAUGCUCCAUCAACUUUAUAUAUAUGAGCCCAGGAGAAGAAAACUGAGUUGCUUUCCUUUGAGAAGGGGAAGGAAAUAAAUAUUUGUCCUAGUUCACUAAAAAGCUCUUACGUAUUAGACCUUUUAACCAUAAAGACUUUAUUUUCUUCAUGCUUGUUUUUAUCACCUAUGUUUGCCUAAUUUUGUCAUGAGUACUGUCUCAAAGCCUUAAUAAAACAUUAAUGUCCAAGCCCCAGAACUUCCACUGUUACUUUUCUAUCAUUUAUCUCUGUUACUGAUUUUAGCUCUGGUUACUUCUAAGAAAAGUAAAAUGGCAAUCUAUACAUUUCAAGGAAAGGAUGAGAUUAAUGAAUGUAUACAACUAGGACCUGCUGCUGAUGAUGUCAAAUAUUAAGAGGUGGAACUCUUAAUAUGUACUUAAAAUAGUUUGUUUUCUACUUUGUGUAGUUCUUGUAGCUCCACUUUAAUGUUCUUCCCUAAUACAGGUUUUAACAAUUCAAGUAUGGACUGAAUGGCCUUAUUAGAACCUUUUAAAUGAGUAAGUGUAGCUUUU
rnacentral:lncRNA from 1 species